rfam:Eggerthia catenaformis OT 569 = DSM 20559 genomic scaffold acdBZ-supercont1.3, whole genome shotgun sequence.
AUUGAUGCAAUCAAUAUACCGUAGACAGUAACAGCUUAAUGCUUAAUAUGUUACCGAGGUAGUAUUGUCAUUUGAUGACAACGCUCCUCUAUGGUUAGGAGCGUUUUUAUAUAGCGUG